UACGAAGGGGGCUAGCGUUGCUCGGAAUCACUGGGCGUAAAGCGCACGUAGGCGGCUUCUUAAGUCAGGGGUGAAAUCCUGGAGCUCAACUCCAGAACUGCCUUUGAUACUGAGGAGCUUGAGUUCGGGAGAGGUGAGUGGAACUGCGAGUGUAGAGGUGAAAUUCGUAGAUAUUCGCAAGAACACCAGUGGCGAAGGCGGCUCACUGGCCCGAUACUGACGCUGAGGCACGAAAGCGUGGGGAGCAACAGG
rnacentral:rRNA from 1 species